rnacentral:rRNA from 1 species
GAUGAACGCUGGCGGCGUGCCUAAUACAUGCAAGUCGAGCGAACAGACGAGGAGCUUGCUCCUCUGACGUUAGCGGCGGACGGGUGAGUAACACGUGGAUAACCUACCUAUAAGACUGGGAUAACUUCGGGAAACCGGAGCUAAUACCGGAUAAUAUAUUGAACCGCAUGGUUCAAUAGUGAAAGACGGUUUUGCUGUCACUUAUGGAUGGAUCCGCGCCGCAUUAGCUAGUUGGUAAGGUAACGGCUUACCAAGGCAACGAUGCGUAGCCGACCUGAGAGGGUGAUCGGCCAAACUGGAACUGAGACACGGUCCAGACUCCUACGGGAGGCAGCAGUAGGGAAUCUUCCGCAAUGGGCGAAAGCUUGACGGAGCAACGCCGCGUGAGUGAUGAAGGUCUUCGGAUCGUAAAACUCUGUUAUUAGGGAAGAACAAAUGUGUAAGUAACUAUGCACGUCUUGACGGUACCUAAUCAGAAAGCCACGGCUAACUACGUG